rnacentral:piRNA from 1 species
UUUGGCUAGGUAGAGAGGGAGAGG